AGGUUUAUAAGGUUUGUUUUGUUAGACAACUGCCUUCAAACGGCAGGGAUCACUGGUUCAAUCCCAGUCGCGCCCACCA
rnacentral:tRNA from 1 species